rnacentral:rRNA from 1 species
GACGAACGCUGGCGGCGUGCUUAAUACAUGCAAGUCGAACGGAAAGGCUCUGAUUUUGUGGGGUGACAGAGUGACGAAAGGAUGAGUAAAACGUGAGUAACCUGCCCUUGACCUUGGGAAAAAUUCAGGAAAAUGGGGCUAAUACCGGAUAGGAGCUCCCACAGUAUGGUGGGGGUUGGAAAGUUUCGGCGGAUGGGGAUGGUCUCGCGGCUUAUCAGCGUGUCGGUGGGGUAGUGUCUUAGCAAGGCUUUGACGAGUAGCCGGCCUGGGAGGGUGACCGGCCACAUUGUGACUGGGAUACCGGCCGUACGCCUACGGGAGGCAUCAGUGGGAGAUAGUGCGCGAUGGGCGGAAGCCGGAUGCAGCAACGCCGCGUGCGGGAUGUCUGCUGUCGGGUUAUAAACCGCUUGCGCCUGGGACGAAGCGCGAGUGACGGUAAUGAGUAAGGAAGCACCGGCUAACUACGUG